rnacentral:rRNA from 1 species
AACGACUCUCGGCAACGGAUAUCUCGGCUCUCGCAUCGAUGAAGAACGCAGCGAAAUGCGAUACUUGGUGUGAAUUGCAGGAUCCCGCGAACCAUCGAGUCUUUGAACGCAAGUUGCGCCCGAAGCCUUGGCCGAGGGCACGUCUGCUUGGGUGUCAUUC